rnacentral:rRNA from 1 species
UUAAAUUGAAGAGUUUGAUCAUGGCUCAGAUUGAACGCUGGCGGCAGGCCUAACACAUGCAAGUCGAACGGUAACAGGAAUCAGCUUGCUGAUUCGCUGACGAGUGGCGGACGGGUGAGUAAUGUCUGGGAAACUGCCUGAUGGAGGGGGAUAACUACUGGAAACGGUAGCUAAUACCGCAUAACGUCGCAAGACCAAAGAGGGGGACCUUCGGGCCUCUUGCCAUCGGAUGUGCCCAGAUGGGAUUAGCUAGUAGGUGGGGUAACGGCUCACCUAGGCGACGAUCCCUAGCUGGUCUGAGAGGAUG